AUUGAACGCUGGCGGCAGGCCUAACACAUGCAAGUCGAACGAGUGGCGGACUGGUGAGUAAUGUCUGGGAAACUGCCUGAUGGAGGGGGAUAACUACUGGAAACGGUAGCUAAUACCGCAUACCAUCUGAUGUGCCCAGAUGGGAUUAGCUAGUAGGUGGGGUAAAGGCUCACCGAGGCGACGAUCCCUAGCUGGUCUGAGCGGAUGACCAGCCACAAUGGAACUGAGAGAAGGUCCAGACUCCUACGGGAGGCAGAAGGGGGGAAUAUUGCACAAUGGGCGCAAGCCUGAUGCAGGCAUGCCGCGUGUAUGAAGAAGGCCUUCGGGUUGUAAAGUACUUUCAGCGGGGAGGCGUUACCGACAGAAGAAGCACCGGCUAACUCCGUGCCAGCCGCCGCGGUAAUUC
rnacentral:rRNA from 1 species